rnacentral:rRNA from 1 species
GACGAACGCUGGCGGCGUGCCUAAUACAUGCAAGUCGAACGAGAGCGACUGGUGCUUGCACUGGUCAAUCUAGUGGCGAACGGGUGAGUAACACGUGGGUAACCUGCCCAUCAGAGGGGGAUAACAUCCGGAAACGGAUGCUAAAACCGCAUAGGUCUUCGAGCCGCAUGGCUUGAAGAGGAAAAGAGGCGCAAGCUUCUGCUGAUGGAUGGACCCGCGGUGCAUUAGCUAGUUGGUGAGGUAACGGCUCACCAAGGCCGUGAUGCAUAGCCGACCUGAGAGGGUGAUCGGCCACAUUGGGACUGAGACACGGCCCAAACUCCUACGGGAGGCAGCAGUAGGGAAUCUUCCGCAAUGGACGCAAGUCUGACGGGAGCAAACGCCGCGUGAGUGAAGAAAGGUUUUCGGAUCGUAAAAACUUCUGGUG